UUUCAAGGUCUCUUGCUAAUUAGUAUUUAAGUUUACGCAUUCAAGGUAUUAAUUAUCUGAAACUUUGCUCUACCU
rnacentral:lncRNA from 1 species